rnacentral:rRNA from 1 species
AACGCGAAGAACCUUACCUACUCUUGACAUCCAGAGAACUUUCCAGAGAUGGAUUGGUGCCUUCGGGAACUCUGAGACAGGUGCUGCAUGGCUGUCGUCAGCUCGUGUUGUGAAAUGUUGGGUUAAGUCCCGCAACGAGCGCAACCCUUAUCCUUUGUUGCCAGCGGUUCGGCCGGGAACUCAAAGGAGACUGCCAGUGAUAAACUGGAGGAAGGUGGGGAUGACGUCAAGUCAUCAUGGCCCUUACGAGUAGGGCUACACACGUGCUACAAUGGCGCAUACAAAGAGAAGCGACCUCGCGAGAGCAAGCGGACCUCAUAAAGUGCGUCGUAGUCCGGAUUGGAGUCUGCAACUCGACUCCAUGAAGUCGGAAUCGCUAGUAAUCGUAAAUCAGAAUGUUACGGUGAAUACGUUCCCGGGCCUUGUACACACCG